UUGUUGAGUAUAGCCUUUUGUAGAAGGA
rnacentral:piRNA from 1 species